UACGAAGGGGGCUAGCGUUGUUCGGAAUUACUGGGCGUAAAGGGCGCGUAGGCGGUACUUCAAGUCAGGCGUGAAAGCCCCGGGCUCAACCUGGGAACCGCGCUUGAGACUGGAGAACUAGAGUUCGGGAGAGGAUGGUGGAAUUCCCAGUGUAGAGGUGAAAUUCGUAGAUGUUGGGAAGAACACCGAUGGCGAAGGCAGCCAUCUGGACCGACACUGACGCUGAGGCGCGAAAGCGUGGGGAGCAAACAGG
rnacentral:rRNA from 1 species